rnacentral:rRNA from 1 species
GAUGAACGCUGGCGGCGUGCCUAAUACAUGCAAGUCGAGUGAACAGACGAGGAGCUUGCUCCUCUGACGUUAGCGGCGGACGGGUGAGUAACACGUGGAUAACCUACCUAUAAGACUGGGAUAACUUCGGGAAACCGGAGCUAAUACCGGAUAAUAUAUUGAACCGCAUGGUUCAAUAGUGAAAGACGGUUUUGCUGUCACUUAUAGAUGGAUCCGCGCCGCAUUAGCUAGUUGGUAAGGUAACGGCUUACCAAGGCAACGAUGCGUAGCCGACCUGAGAGGGUGAUCGGCCACACUGGAACUGAGACACGGUCCAGAUUCCUACGGGAGGCAGCAGUAGGGAAUCUUCCGCAAUGGGCGAAAGCUUGACGGAGCAACGCCGCGUGAGUGAUGAAGGUCUUCGGAUCGUAAAACUCUGUUAUUAGGGAAGAACAAAUGUGUAAGUAACUAUGCACGUCUUGACGGUACCUAAUCAGAAAGCCACGGCUAACUACGUG